UCAGGACUUUCAUCGCCUUUUGGUUUCAAUCGGGAUCUUCCGGGAGUACCAUGGCUACCCUCAUAUGAACCUUUUCCUUCCCAGGCAGGAGAUGGAGCCCCGCUACCUCUCCCUGAAAUCUUGGCCUUAUGAUGCAGUGGGGAUUGCUCCAUGCUGUUAUCAGAACCAAUGCUUUGUGCACUUGGUCUUCCAGUCCGUCUUUGGUUUUCACCAUAGCUUACUCCACGACCACCAUAACGCUGGGGUGCUAGCUCAUUGCUAGCUCUACGAUUCAUGUUGUCAUGGCGUGCUGGAGAGUCAGUAAACCGUCUGAGGUCACCAUCUUCUCUGCUCCUGCGACGCUCGUGUGCCCGUCUAACAGCUCCCUGCCCUGUUGGUUCC
rnacentral:misc_RNA from 1 species